rnacentral:rRNA from 1 species
UGCUAGGAGGCGUCGAGCGGCGGACGGGUGAGUAAUGCAUAGGAAUCUGCCCGGUAGUGGGGGAUAACUUGAGGAAACUCAAGCUAAUACCGCAUACGCCCUACGGGGGAAAGCAGGGGCUCUUCGGACCUUGCGCUAUCGGAUGAGCUUAUGUCGGAUUAGCUGGUUGGUGAGGUAACGGCUCACCAAGGCGACGAUCCGUAGCUGGUCUGAGAGGAUGAUCAGCCACAUCGGGACUGAGACACGGCCCGAACUCCUACGGGAGGCAGCAGUGGGGAAUAUUGGACAAUGGGGGCAACCCUGAUCCAGCCAUGCCGCGUGUGUGAAGAAGGCCCUCGGGUUGUAAAGCACUUUCAGCGAGGAAGAAUGCUUGUCGGUUAAUACCCGGCAAGGGAGACAUCACUCGCAGAAGAAGCACCGGCUAACUCCGUGCCAGCAGCCGCGGUAAUACGGAGGGUGCGAGCGUUAAUCGGAAUUACUGGGCGUAAAGCGUGCGUAGGCGGCUUGAUAAGCCGGUUGUGAAAGCCCCGGGCUCAACCUGGGAACGGCAUCCGGAACUGUUAGGCUAGAGUGCAGGAGAGGAAGGUAGAAUUCCCGGUGUAGCGGUGAAAUGCGUAGAGAUCGGGAGGAAUACCAGUGGCGAAGGCGGCCUUCUGGACUGACACUGACGCUGAGGUACGAAAGCGUGGGUAGCAACAGGAUUAGAUACCCUGGUAGUCCACGCCGUAAACGAUGUCGACUAGCCGUUGGGGUCCUCGAGACCUUUGUGGCGCAGUUAACGCACUAAGUCGACCGCCUGGGGAGUACGGCCGCAAGGUUAAAACUCAAAUGAAUUGACGGGGGCCCGCACAAGCGGUGGAGCAUGUGGUUUAAUUCGAUGCAACGCGAAGAACCUUACCUACCCUUGACAUCGUGCGA